rnacentral:tRNA from 1 species
GCCACUUUAGCUCAGUUGGUAGAGCAACUGAUUUGUAAUCAGUAGGUCGCUGGUUCGAGUCCGGCAAGUGGCUCCA